rnacentral:misc_RNA from 1 species
AACGCUAAAAAGGGUAACAAUAUAAUGCGAUGAUUGGAGUUUGUAUUUUGUACUGGGUAGGAUCUGGGAGCAAAAUAAAAUAAGGAACAACAGAUUUUGGGCUGUAUGCCAUGCAGCUUCAGCAAUUUGUUUGUCAUCAGCUGGGUGAUAUUUUAGGUUUUUCUUUUAGUUUAGUGAGCUGUUAUAUUUGGCUUUGAAAUUGACUUGUGUUUUGGUUCUUAAUGAAGUCUCAAGUAGUUGUCAACUUGUAAUAUUUUAUUUUCCAAUAUCAUGGAUUAUUAAAAUUACUCCCCUCAAGAUAGUGCUUGUGGGUACUGUAUUUCAAGUGCCAAAUCUGCACUGUAAAUGGCCCAAAUUAAUUUUUCUUCAUAUUUGAUCCCUAGUUUACCUUUUUGCCAGGCCUGAUCCACAAAUUUCUAUCUAUUCUAGCUUCAAGACCCCAGAAACCUAAAUCCUCGUGCACCAAGUUGUUACAUGGAAUUACAUGUCUCAAACAAAAUGGUCAUGGAAAGGGGGGAAAAAUAGAAGUGCUUAUAGAACUUGAACUUUUGCACAAGGAAUUGCAUGUUUUGCUGCUGCAAGACAGCUGCUGAAAUUGAUAAUGUCUUUCUUGAUAGGUGCCCUAUGAGAUCAGGCAAAUUGCUUAUCUUAUCUAUAGUGAUGUCCUGAUUGAUUAGUUAAGUAAAAAAACCAAACUAACCAAAUCAACGGAUAUUUCCAUUUCCCUAAUCCAUUGUCAUUUUGCCUUGGUAUAAAAAGCUACCCUGCCCUCAUUUUUCGUUUCUCCUUCUCAGUCUCACAUGCCCAUCCCCAAUCCUCUCCUUUUUUCUCUCUGUCUCCUACUUUGCCUAUCCUCAGCUUUCUUCUUCGAUUCCUUCAGUGGCCAUAGUUUCACACGUUCCCUGUUCCCACUUCCCAAUCCCAUCCAACCUCUCUGCUCUCUUUGGCUUUCUACUAUUUGUGCCCCUGGCCCUCUCUUAUUGCAAUUUGGUUUCUUCAAAACUUUUUCUUCUUUGCGACUCUCUCUGCUUCAAUUUCCUCUCCAAUUUGUCGACCAACUUCUCUUUCCACUUAUGCUUGA